rnacentral:rRNA from 1 species
CGUUGUCCGGAAUCAUUGGGCGUAAAGAGCGUGUAGGCGGCCUGGUAAGUCCGCUGUGAAAGUCCAGGGCUCAACCCUGGAAUGCCGGUGGAAACUGUCAGGCUCGAGUCCGGAAGAGGCGAGUGGAAUUCCUGGUGUAGCGGUGAAAUGCGCAGAUAUCAGGAGGAACACCAAUGGCGAAGGCAGCUCGCUGGGACGGUACUGACGCUGAGACGCGAAAGCGUGGGGAGCAAACAGG